UGGGGAAUUUUGGACAAUGGGGGAAACCCUGAUCCAGCGAUGCCGCGUGUGUGAAGAAGGCCUGCGGGUUGUAAAGCACUUUCGAUGGGGAGGAAAGGUCCAAGGUUAAUACCCUUGGACAGUGACGUUACCCAUAUAAGAAGCACCGGCAAACUCUGUGCCAGCAGCCGCGGUAAUACAGAGGGUGCAAGCGUUAGUCGGAGUUACUGGGCGUAAAGCGUGCGUAGGUGGAUGUCAAAGUCGAUUGUGAAAGCCCCGGGCUUAACCUGGGAACUGCAGUCGAUACUGGGCAUCUCAAGUAAGGUAGAGGAAAGUGGAAUUCCCAGUGUAGCGGUGGAAUGCGUAGAUAUUGGGAAGAACACCAAUGGCGAAGGCAGCUUUCUGGACCUAUACUGACACUGAAGCACGAAAGCGUGGGGAGCAAACAGG
rnacentral:rRNA from 1 species